rnacentral:rRNA from 1 species
GGGGAUAACUAUUGGAAACGAUAGCUAAUACCGCAUAACAGUAGAUGUUGCAUGACAUUUGCUUAAAAGGUGCAAUUGCAUCACUACCAGAUGGACCUGCGUUGUAUUAGCUAGUUGGUGGGGUAACGGCUCGCCAAGGCGACGAUACAUAGCCGACCUGAGAGGGUGAUCGGCCACACUGGGGCUGAGACAUGGCCCAG